rnacentral:rRNA from 2 species
AAAUUGAAGAGUUUGAUCAUGGCUCAGAUUGAACGCUGGCGGCAGGCCUAACACAUGCAAGUCGAACGGUAACAGGAAGCAGCUUGCUGCUUUGCUGACGAGUGGCGGACGGGUGAGUAAUGUCUGGGAAACUGCCUGAUGGAGGGGGAUAACUACUGGAAACGGUGGCUAAUACCGCAUAACGUCGCAAGACCAAAGAGGGGGACCUUCGGGCCUCUUGCCAUCAGAUGUGCCCAGAUGGGAUUAGCUUGUUGGUGAGGUAACGGCUCACCAAGGCGACGAUCCCUAGCUGGUCUGAGAGGAUGACCAGCCACACUGGAACUGAGACACGGUCCAGACUCCUACGGGAGGCAGCAGUGGGGAAUAUUGCACAAUGGGCGCAAGCCUGAUGCAGCCAUGCCGCGUGUAUGAAGAAGGCCUUCGGGUUGUAAAGUACUUUCAGCGGGGAGGAAGGUGUUGCGGUUAAUAACCGCAGCAAUUGACGUUACCCGCAGAAGAAGCACCGGCUAACUCCGUGCCAGCAGCCGCGGUAAUACGGAGGGUGCAAGCGUUAAUCGGAAUUACUGGGCGUAAAGCGCACGCAGGCGGUCUGUCAAGUCGGAUGUGAAAUCCCCGGGCUCAACCUGGGAACUGCAUUCGAAACUGGCAGGCUUGAGUCUUGUAGAGGGGGUAGAAUUCCAGGUGUAGCGGUGAAAUGCGUAGAGAUCUGGAGGAAUACCGGUGGCGAAGGCGGCCCCCUGGACAAAGACUGACGCUCAGGUGCGAAAGCGUGGGGAGCAAACAGGAUUAGAUACCCUGGUAGUCCACGCCGUAAACGAUGUCUACUUGGAGGUUGUGCCCUUGAGGCGUGGCUUCCGGAGCUAACGCGUUAAGUAGACCGCCUGGGGAGUACGGCCGCAAGGUUAAAACUCAAAUGAAUUGACGGGGGCCCGCACAAGCGGUGGAGCAUGUGGUUUAAUUCGAUGCAACGCGAAGAACCUUACCUGGUCUUGACAUCCACAGAAGAAUCCAGAGAUGGAUUGGUGCCUUCGGGAACUGUGAGACAGGUGCUGCAUGGCUGUCGUCAGCUCGUGUUGUGAAAUGUUGGGUUAAGUCCCGCAACGAGCGCAACCCUUAUCCUUUGUUGCCAGCGAUUAGGUCGGGAACUCAAAGGAGACUGCCAGUGAUAAACUGGAGGAAGGUGGGGAUGACGUCAAGUCAUCAUGGCCCUUACGACCAGGGCUACACACGUGCUACAAUGGCGCAUACAAAGAGAAGCGACCUCGCGAGAGCAAGCGGACCUCAUAAAGUGCGUCGUAGUCCGGAUUGGAGUCUGCAACUCGACUCCAUGAAGUCGGAAUCGCUAGUAAUCGUGGAUCAGAAUGCCACGGUGAAUACGUUCCCGGGCCUUGUACACACCGCCCGUCACACCAUGGGAGUGGGUUGCAAAAGAAGUAGGUAGCUUAACCUUCGGGAGGGCGCUUACCACUUUGUGAUUCAUGACUGGGGUGAAGUCGUAACAAGGUAACCGUAGGGGAACCUGCGGUUGGAUCACCUCCUUACCUUAAAGAAGC